rnacentral:rRNA from 1 species
AUUGAACGCUGGCGGCAGGCCUAACACAUGCAAGUCGAGCGGAUGAAGGGAGCUUGCUCCUGGAUUCAGCGGCGGACGGGUGAGUAAUGCCUAGGAAUCUGCCUGGUAGUGGGGGAUAACGUCCGGAAACGGGCGCUAAUACCGCAUACGUCCUGAGGGAGAAAGUGGGGGAUCUUCGGACCUCACGCUAUCAGAUGAGCCUAGGUCGGAUUAGCUAGUUGGUGGGGUAAAGGCCUACCAAGGCGACGAUCCGUAACUGGUCUGGGAGGAUGAUCAGUCACACUGGAACUGAGACACGGUCCAGACUCCUACGGGAGGCAGCAGUGGGGAAUAUUGGACGAUGGGCGAAAGCCUGAUCCAGCCAUGCCGCGUGUGUGAAGAAGGUCUUCGGAUUGUAAAGCACUUUAAGUUGGGAGGAAGGGCAGUAAGUUAAUACCUUGCUGUUUUGACGUUACCAACAGAAUAAGCACCGGCUAACUUCGUG